rnacentral:lncRNA from 1 species
CGGUGUCAAGUGCCAUUUGCUCUUAAAGAGGCGUUCUGCUGUCUCUGGUCCUCAGGUGUGUCAUCUGUCAAAGGGGCUUCCAGGGACAGCACCAGAAAUGGAGUGUAUCAGAGUGUCCAGGAAGCCUUUCAGUAUCCCGGUGAAGGAGAAGCCACCAGAAGAAAGAAGACUCGAGCCUCCAGCUGGAGGAUAGAAAGCCUGGGGCCAGUUCUGUGGUGAAAUGAAUUGCCAUCGGCUCCCCAAACCAGCUGCUUCCAGUCAGUGCCUGUGGAUCAUGAUCAAAUGGAGAUAGCCAUCUGGUCCAGGAUUAAAAAAAUAAAAAAACAAAAAAACAAAUUAAGCAAUAAACGAAUUAGACAAAAUCAACCAUCGGAUCCUUGUAACUGUUGAAGGAAAAGUGGAGCC